rnacentral:rRNA from 1 species
GUCGAACGGCAGCACGGGAGCUUGCUCCUNGNNNNGAGUGGCGAACGGGUGAGUAAUGCAUCGGAACGUACCGCGUAAUGGGGGAUAACGUAGCGAAAGUUACGCUAAUACCGCAUACGCCCUGAGGGGGAAAGCAGGGGAUCGCAAGACCUUGCGUUAUGCGAGCGGCCGAUGUCGGAUUAGCUAGUUGGUGGGGUAAAGGCCUACCAAGGCGACGAUCCGUAGCGGGUCUGAGAGGAUGAUCCGCCACACUGGGACUGAGACACGGCCCAGACUCCUACGGGAGGCAGCAGUGGGGAAUUUUGGACAAUGGGGGCAACCCUGAUCCAGCCAUGCCGCGUGGGUGAAGAAGGCCUUCGGGUUGUAAAGCCCUUUCGGACGGAAAGAAAUCGCCAUCGCUAAUACCGGUGGUGGAUGACGGUACCGUAAGAAGAAGCACCGGCUAACUACGUGCCAGCAGCCGCGGUAAUACGUAGGGUGCGAGNNUUAAUCGGAAUUACUGGGCGUAAAGCGUGCGCAGGCGGCUUUUUAAGCCAGAUGUGAAAUCCCCGGGCUUAACCUGGGAAUGGCAUUUGGAACUGGAAGACUAGAGUGCGGCAGAGGGGGGUGGAAUUCCUGGUGUAGCAGUNNAAUGCGUAGAGAUCAGGAGGAACACCGAUGGCGAAGGCAGCCNNCUGGGCCGACACUGACGCNNNUGCACGAAAGCGUGGGGAGCAAACAGGAUUAGNNACCCUGGUAGUCCACGCCCUAAACGAUGUCAACUGGCUGUUGGGGGA